ensembl:lncRNA
CGUUAACUCCCAAUGCUACUGGCUCAUUACACCGUUAUCCUGACGGCGAGGCACGCUUUUAUGUGACCAACAGAAAAGACAGCACCACCUGUAGGACGGCCGAGGUCCAGCCCUCAUGAAAACGCAUCGUGACUUCACAUCCAGUUUUUAUCCCGCAGUUCCCGGAACACUGAGCUACUAUUACAACCAGAAUACUUGGACCGCACACCAGUCCCCCGCUCUGACGUCGAGAGGAGAAGGAAAAACAAAUGGUCCUCGCUGCAAAGUGCAACCCGUCUUUGUUUCUGACCUACAUCACGUCUAACUGGUGUUCGAGUGAGACAGCCAAUGGUAGACUGGGCUGAGGUUCAGCUGUGGGUAGAAGUAUUACAACGGUCGGAUGAAGUUCCCAGCCGGCCCACCUGUUAACCGUCCCAAACAUUCGUUUCGCUUUCAGCUAAUGACAGUGAGGAGGCUGUUAAAAGAUUUGCAGUUUGGCUGUAAUUCAAAUGCACAUUUUCUUUUUUUUCUGCUGAUGAUUGUUGAAAAAAUAUAUUCAUUUUUUACAGUUGUACUAUUGUGAAUCUGGACAAACAUUCACAACCAUCUGUUAUAACGACAUUUAGCAUCUGAACAAAGCCUUUUUAAGAAUGUCUUUCAUACCAAAAUGUUGCCAAAAAAAUAUUUAAAAAAUAAGUCAGAUGAUAUUUUCUUUG